UACAUGAAUACAGUAAAAAAUCUGUUUGAUGCUAAGAGUAGUGAAUUUCUAAUACUUCUGUGAUGUAUUCAUGCGACAGGGUUCUUUGAGUCGAGAAGAGCUUGUUGUGGAACAGGUAUAUUAAAGACCUCUGUGCUUUGCAACUCUAGGUCCGUAGGAACAUGUACCAAUGCAACUGGUUAUGUGUUUUGGGAUGGAUUCCAUCCCUCUGAAGCCGCCAACGGGUCUUAGCUAGAGAUCUACUUCAACAGGGGUCUACAUGGUAAAAGCUGGCAAUAUUUCUAUCCUUUGGACCAUUUUGUUUUGCUUCCAUGUGGCCACUUCAAUACCUAAAGGGCAUCAAACUUCAAUUUGAUCUGUCUCAAAAGAUGAUUGAAUGGCUUGCGACUUUUACCAUUUUCCAGGAGGAACCGACUCACUAUCUCAAAGAAAAGCGGGGAAUUGACUGCUACAAAAUCAGAAAAAUGGGAGAUCACAUCAAAGAGGCAGCGAUUGAGUUGGUGAAAUUGCAGUUGCACAGUUGGGGGAGAACGGAAAAGGAAAGCAGAGGAAUGUUAUUCCCAUAUUUUCUUGCUCCUACUUUGUUUGAUUCUCUUGUGGUAUGUGUUCUCUUUUAUUAUGGGUUUUGGAGUGAAGGCAUCAAAGAGAGAGACUUGGCUGUUGCAUAAAUGGAUUUAUUGAUGGCAAUGAAAGAGUUAUUGAAACAAAGGAGAAACGGCAGCAAGGAGAUCAAAAGCAGAACUUAAUGUUAACAGAUGCAGAAUUCAUUUGGGUGCCUUAAUGUACCAAAGAGUGGCCAGCACAUAAUUGAAGACUUCUACCGUUUCCUCUCUUUUACUGUCAGCAAUCAAUUGGGGUUAAUCUUUCGUUGGUUACGGAAACGUAAAAGGGGAAAAGGAAAGGAAUAAGGGAGCGAAGAAGCAAAAAAAAAAAA